CCUACGGGAGGCUGCAGUGGGGAAUAUUGGACAAUGGGGGCAACCCUGAUCCAGCCAUGCCGCGUGUGUGAAGAAGGCCCUCGGGUUGUAAAGCACUUUCAGUGAGGAAGAACGCCUGGUGGUUAAUACCCAUCAGGAAAGACAUCACUCACAGAAGAAGCACCGGCUAACUCCGUGCCAGCAGCCGCGGUAAUACGGAGGGUGCGAGCGUUAAUCGGAAUUACUGGGCGUAAAGCGCGCGUAGGUGGCUUGAUAAGCCGGUUGUGAAAGCCCCGGGCUCAACCUGGGAACGGCAUCCGGAACUGUCAAGCUAGAGUGCAGGAGAGGAAGGUAGAAUUCCCGGUGUAGCGGUGAAAUGCGUAGAGAUCGGGAGGAAUACCAGUGGCGAAGGCGGCCUUCUGGACUGACACUGACUCUGAGGUGCGAAAGCGUGGGUAGCAAACAGGAUUAGAUACCCUGGUAGUC
rnacentral:rRNA from 1 species